AAGAAUGUAUUAUGAUCUUGGGAGAGAGGCAGAUACUCAGUGCUCCUGCCACCCUCACUAAGAGAGGUCAAAGAGUUACAGAGGCUGUACGAUGAGCAAAGAACUGUGGUAUUGUACCCCAGGACAAGAAGUAAUGAGGCUAAGGUGAUGAAAGGUGGAGAAGUGAGACAGCCAAGUUAGGUACUCAUGAAUAGGAUAUUAUACCAGAGAAGAAGAAAGCCAGUUUCUGGGAAGACUGAACUCCUGUUGAUUGCCAAAUGCUGAUUGAACACUAGCCAGCAAUGCCUUCUGCUGAGCUUUUGGUGGGACUUCUGAUCCUGCAUAGGAAUCUGAAGGAAGCAAUGCCACAUAACAGGCCGGUGCAGAGAAACAAGCUGAGAAAGAAGUGUCUAUUUCCAGUAAUGAGCAGGAAGAAGCUGAGGUCAUCAGAAGUACUCCAAUUUCCUAUUCCAGCACCAGAAUACAUUCUAAAGAAGAUAAUCCACAAAUAGAUAACUGAGUAGAGUGCUUUAUACUUCUGACCCUCUAAGAAGUCCAACACUCUUUGCAAAUGAGACUCCAUUAAUCUUCAUGAUUCUCCAAACAGAUUUUAAUUGAUGACUGACAAAUAGAAAGCUGUGGACCAGAGAUCUGCACAAAAUCUAGCAAAUAACAUCAGAGAUGGACUUGUGAAGAACAUCUGCAGAUCCUAACAGCCAAUGGAUCAAUCUGACAUGUUCCUCAGUUAGGACAAGUGAGCAAGUGGAAAGCAUAACUUUAAAAAUACAGGGAAGGGACAGAUUCCCUACUCUAGCAUACAGGACUCCACUAUAGGACGUAGCCAUGCUCUAUCAACCACAGGGCAACUCUCUUCUCUUCAGUGAACCAAGGUGAUUGCAAAGUUAUCAGAAUCCUCUGGGAACUUAGUCUUAAAGCUUUCUCUAUAGCUUUCACUUAUAAUUUAUUCCAUCAGGGAGCAUGAACCAGGAUUGAUUUGUGGGGUAGAGAGGGGUGGACAUAGGGGCAGCACAGCAUAUUCUUGUCACCACAGGGUUGGGGCAUUCUCAUGCUGAAGGGGCAUCUCUAGCAUCGGUGCUCAAGGAGGGAUAUAAAGAAGGCCCAACUGCAGAAGCAGCAGUAAAGACUGAGACAGCUUCUUCCAUAGUCCAAAGCUCCCUAUGGAAGCUGGAAAAGAGGAUAGUAAACCCCAAAGAGAGCAAUAUGAAGAGCAGACCAGGAGAAAAAUUUAAUUGCUGUAAAUCAGAUCAAGACAAGUCCCAUGUGAGCAGCAGUUCAAGGGAAAUACAAAGCAAGAAAAAGUCCCAUCCAGUUUGUUUGAAAAGACAAAUCGAAGAAUAUAAAACCCCAAUUAGAUUACCUGAGACCUAGAGAGGUAAAGUGACAACUCCAAAUUCUUAUAACUACUAAAAAGCAUGGUUGGGACUUGAACCCAUGGCCAGCAAUCUUUUCAAUGAUCAAGGAUGGCUGGGUCUUAUUCUGAUAGAAUUGAAAAUGAAUGAAGGAACAUGUAGUUCUAAUGGAGAGGAAAAUGCCCCUUAAGGUUCUACUUUAAGGAGAGGCAGAAAAGGCUAGUUAAUGGAGAAAUAGACUAGAAGCUUAUACUCCAGCAUUAUAUUCCUGGUCCUGUCAUCAACUUAUCGUGGUAAAUAUUGUCAACUCUUCAUGUUAUAAGUGAGAGCACCACCACCUGCUUCAUGCUAUCCUCCCCAGGGUCUUAUACAGAUUAAUGAGGGCAUCCAAAAAGUUAUCUGAGUUCUUUAGAAAUUACAAAUUUUCUUCAUAAAUUCCCAUUAUAAAUUCCCUGCAGGGUGGGAUUUAUAUCUCCUUUUUCCCAUUAUGCACAUAGUAAGUGUGCAAGGAACAAUUGCUGACUGAGAAAGCACCCUGAGGAAGACUGAUUGCUAAGUUUCUAAUAUUUGCAGGCAGAUGUCUGGGAAUCUUUCUAAGAUGAUGAUGGGUUCCAUCAAAAUUGAAUAUUGGGGGUACCACAAAACAAAUUUUAUUAAAACUAGGGGAGAUUGAACCACUAGGUGGAUGUCACCAGAGGGAAAUGAAGAAAUAAAACUCAAGAGAAAAUUCUAACAGUUACUUACAUCCAUGGAGUAAUGCUCAAUCUGAUAGAUGGUGGUCAGCCCCUGGGUCGUGAAAUAGUCCAGACAUGAUGAACAGCCCAACCUCGCUAAGAAACUGCAGAGGGAGGAGGGAAGAGGAAGGAGGAAACAGAAAAAGAAAGUUCACCCCAACUGCAUUGGCGAGAUAAAAGAAAACCCAACAUUUUGCCCUUGGAUGCCCUACAGAAGAGAUGAGGGGCAGAUGAAAUAUAUGUGGGCCUUGGAUUUCAGGUUUGGGGAUGAUUGGUGACUGGAACUUUAGGUCUUCAGACAUUAAAAUCAACUAUAAGGAUUCCUGUAAAGCAGGGACUUUGAAAUGGUGAUCUGUGAAAUUUCUCAGGAUCUGAGUAAGUACCUUAGAAACUGUUGCAAGGGGGCAGGGAAGGACUCAACUGGGUCAGGUUCCCAGCCCUGUCACCACCUGGCUCUUCAUUUUGAAAGAGCUGUUUUCAAUCGUUUUGUACUUUGGGUUUCUGCAUGAGGUUCAUGUAGUUAUAAAAAAAAAAACUGUAGGCCAUUAUUCUAUGAAAUGUUUAAUGCUUUUUGAUUUAUAUUCUCCUUAGAAUACAGAUCACCUCUGCUUUGGUGCUGGUCUCACAAUGAUGAUGCCACCAUUGUCACAGAGCCAGAACCUGGGUGGGAUAAGCCAUGAACUUUGCCCAUCUCAGCGACUGACAUCUGCUAGUCCUAUUGUAUCAACUGCAUGAGGACUAACACAAAUCAUCCCCACAGCCAAAUGUAAAAAAAAAUGGAAAAGCCCUCUGGACUACUUUGCCGACCAAAAAGCAUAGACUUAUCGUGUCUCAAUCUGUUUUCCCCUCUGACUUCCUGACUAUUUAAAAGGAUAGUUGUGAAAUAUAAAUAAGAAAAAGUAGGUAAACUGUAAGGUAUACAAAUGUGGAGGGUCAUCAACACUACCACUAUUUUGUCAUCCCACGAAACAAACCGAGGACUCCAAGAGAUCACAGGAAUGAAAAUAAGAGGUGGGGAGCUGUUACCAUAUGAAGACUGAGACUGCAUCGAGGUCCUAGAAACACAAACACCGGAGUGAUGGUGAGCAUGGAACAGUGAAGAGCAAGGAUUGGUCUUUUAAAACAAGUCUCAGUUUAAAGCAUUGUCUAGAACUGUACAUUUGCAAAGGUAUUCCUACAAGAUUGAUAAGUUAUUUUUGUUUCCACCAGAGAAAAUUUUCUAACUAGGGAGGGGUUGAAAGGCUAUCACCAAGUCAUAUGUUUUCUGAAUGGGCAAAGUAUAAACAUGAGUACUUCCUCAAGUAUCUCCUUUGUGAGGAGUAAAAUAAAUAUAGCCUCCUUUUCCCUCUGUUAUUUGCUCCAUAACCCUCCCUCCUCUUGUCCGUCAACCUAAACAAAUUUGAAGUACAAUAAAGGAGAAGAACCGAGCAAAGGCCCAAUAGCUCGUGAAUGACAUGGAAGUGCCAAGGUCAAAUUGCAGCUGAGGCAUUCCAUUUGGAACUUCCCAGACCAUUUGGGAUAUGCAGAAAAUAACUGCAAAGCCAGUCGAACAGGACAUUUGGCAGUACACCUUGCUGUCAUGCAGAGGCCCUAUCUUGGAGACAUGUUUUCUCAGCUGAGAUGUUCAUGGGUCAUGAGAAAACCUGUUGGAAUGUCAACAGCCCCUUUAUGCAAGAGAACCCUGAAGCUCAAACAACUGUCUGAUGACUUUCCAUAAGUCUUCUGGGAGACAAAGGAAAAAAUGAACAGUUUUCCAUUCAGCAUAAACUUUAAUUUGGAGAUGUACCAGAAUUGGUUCAUCAUAAUAUGAGUUAUAUUGCAGAUGAUAUUCUCUACUCAACUGUUCUCUCUGACUUAAAAAAAAACAAAACAACAACAAAACACACAAAAAACUAGGGAUAUUAACAUCCCUGCCUCAGUAUUUACCCAAGAAAACUGUAUAAGCUAUACACAUAAACAUUUAGUUCAUUAGUUAGAUAACAGAGCUGGGAAAACUAAUCAGACAUGGUCCCAACUUUGAGAAGCCCAGAGAUUAGUGGAUACAACCUAUUUUGUAGGGCUAUGAUGAGAACUGAAGUUAAAAAAAAAAAGACAAGGAAGUUAUAUAAAGAGUGUAACAUUUACAGUGAGUAAUUAUCAUGAUCACAGAAUGAAGUCUUGGCUUUAAACAUAUUUCUGACCUCUGGUGGGUUAUGCUCCUCUCUUACAGUCCUCAAACAAAAUGUAUUGUUUUGUUCCUAUUUGCCUCCGUCCUGCUGUAGGAAGAGAUAAAAACUGUAGAGGAGAGAUAAAAACUUUUUUUUUUAAUAGUUUUAUUUUUCCCUAAUUUUGGAGACUCUGUAAUUUAACUUGGUUCUCAAGCAAAUAUGGCCUAAUAAGAGUUCCAUGUUAAACAACAACAAAAGCAGCACUUCUGGUCAUUAUUUGAAAUGUGAUUCAUCUUGAGUGCAACAGUAAUAGGUAUUGGUCGUUGAAGCUGCCAUUCUGCAUUCUCCAUAAUUAUACAGAAACAAGGAAGGCUCCAGGCCAUAGAGGUGAAGAGCUACAGCUAAAGGAAAGGGAACAAUGUGCUGUACAUUCAUUUGCAUAAGUGAGCAGACGAUUAACAUGGAAUUAACAAUUUAGCUCUAUUUUAAAAUCCCUGCCUUUAAGGUAGGGGGACACUGAUUUUUCUUUUUAGCCCUUUUCUCAGUUACUCAAAAUUAUAGAUUCACAUGCAUAGACAAGUGUUUAUGUAAUAAACCUUCCCAACAGCAAAACA